UAGGGGGUUGGCCCACACAGAACAGUUUCCCAUCCUGCUGGUGUGACGUAGACUGAUCUUCCUGCUGUGGUUUCUCCGGUGCUUUGCCUGCUGCCUUUGCCAAAUUCACCUGUUUCAUAUAUUCCCAGGAUUCAUGCAGUUGGAAGAGAAAGAGAUGUGUUUUUUGCCUUCGGAAGAAGAUCCGUAGGCUUUUGGCUGUCUUGAUGUCAAUGGGGAGCUCAUUCCACCAUUUAGGAGCCAUUACAGCAAACAGUUGGGAUUUCAUUGAGUGAUUAGUUGUCCCUGUGAGGGGGCAGCAAGCAGGUUGGCUGAUGCAGAGCGGAGUGGGUGAGUUGGGGUAUGGGGUUUGACCAUGUCCUAUAUGUAAGCUGGGGCUUAUCUAUUCAUGGGCAUGUAUGCAAGUAGUGGUGUCUUGAAGCGGUUGCUGGAAGCAAAUGGUAGGCAGGGAAGAGGGAGGUGUAGUUUGAGACAACUUAGGGAGGUUCAAGUCAAGAUGCUGCGUUCUGAAUGAGCUGCAGGCAGACCUGCCAGGAGGGAGUUGUAGUAGUCUAGACGUGAGAUGAUCAGAGCCUGAACCAGAACCUGAACCUGAGCCACCUUCUGCGUUAGAAGGGGAUGUAUCCUUCUGAUGUUAUGCAGCAUGUAUCUGCACGACCGGGUAGAUGGCAAUGUUGGCAGUGAAGGAGAGUUGGUCAUUGAUUGUCACAGUUAGGUUUCUAGCAGUCUGGGUGGGAACGACCACAGAGUUGUCAAUUGUUAUAGUAAGGUCCUGGGUAGAAAAGCUUGGAAAAGGAGCUUAUCAAGGUUGAGUUUCAGAUGGUGUGUGGACAUCCAAGAAGAAAUGUCAGUCAGACAGGCUGGGAUAAGUGCUGCUACUUGUGUUUCUGACUCCGGAAAG